rnacentral:rRNA from 1 species
UACGUAGGGUGCAAGCGUUGUCCGGAAUUAUUGGGCGUAAAGAGCGUGUAGGCGGUCCGGUAAGUCCGCUGUGAAAGUCGGGGGCUCAACCCUCGAAUGCCGGUGGAUACUGUCGGGCUAGAGUGCGGAAGAGGCGAGUGGAAUUCCUGGUGUAGCGGUGAAAUGCGCAGAUAUCAGGAAGAACACCCGUGGCGAAGGCGGUUCUCUGGGACGGUACUGACGCUGAGACGCGAAAGCGUGGGGAGCGAACAGG